AAUAGCUACAACAGCUAUAUAGUGUCACCAUUUGAGUCUCCAUUGUCACAAUGUCUACCUCUUCCAUAAACGGUUGGUGCCUCUCUUCAAUCUCUCCUGCAAAAACUUCACUCAGGAGAGCCACAUUGCGCCAUUCAGUCUUUGCAACUCUUAACACUUCUUCUUCUUCUUCUACCUCUUCCUCUUCUUUCCCUUCUCUCAUUCAAGACAAGCCUGUUUUUGCUGCCCCUGCUCCCAUCAUCACCCCCACUUUGAGAGAGGAUAUGGGGAAGAACUAUGAGGAAGCUAUUGAAGAACUUCAGAAGCUGUUAAGGGAGAAGAGUGAACUGAAAGCAACAGCAGCUGAAAGAGUUGAGCAAAUAACAGCUCAGCUAGGCACAACAUCAUCUGAUGGCAUCCCAUCAUCAGAAGCCUCUGAUAGGAUCAAGAAUGGUUUCAUUUACUUCAAGAAAGAGAAAUAUGACAAGAAUCCAGCUUUGUAUGGUGAACUUGCCAAAGGCCAGAGCCCCAAGUUUAUGGUGUUUGCUUGCUCAGACUCAAGAGUCUGCCCAUCUCAUGUGCUAGAUUUUCAGCCAGGAGAGGCCUUUGUGGUCAGAAACGUUGCUAACAUUGUCCCACCAUAUGACCAGACAAAAUACUCUGGAACUGGGGCAGCAAUUGAGUAUGCAGUUUUGCAUCUCAAGGUGUCAAACAUUGUGGUCAUUGGACACAGUGCUUGUGGUGGUAUUAAGGGGCUAUUGUCUUUUCCAUAUGAUGGAACCUACUCUACUGAUUUUAUUGAGGAGUGGGUCAAAAUUGGUUUACCUGCAAAGGCAAAGGUGAAAGCACAACAUGGGAAUGCACCUUUUGCAGAGUUAUGCACACACUGUGAGAAGGAAGCUGUGAAUGUUUCCCUUGGAAACCUGCUAACAUAUCCAUUUGUUAGAGAUGGCUUGGUGAACAAAACUUUGGCACUGAAAGGAGGAUACUAUGACUUUGUUAAAGGAGGUUUUGAGCUCUGGGGCCUUCAGUUUGGCCUUGCUUCCUCUUUCUCCGUAUGAACAUCAACCAUUAUCAAUGACCUCAUCUUGGUUCCCUAAGUAUUCUCCUCCCUAAAAUGUAAAAGAUGUGGCUACGAUUCUGCAUUGGAAGCUAUAGGGUCAUGCUUAAGAGGUCGUGUAUCUGCAAUGAAGAGGCCUAGCUACCUUCACUAUAUGAUAAUCAUAUAUAUAUAUUUAUAUAUGGAACUAUGAACUGGGGUUAUUAUUAUGUAGGAAAAUCUUCUUUUAAUAAACGUUGGAAAUCCUCUUGAGACAAA